rnacentral:rRNA from 1 species
ACCCCGGUAGUCCACGCCGGUAAACGAUGUGUACUAGGUCGUGGGUGUUCGGACACAUUCACGGCCGGAGCGAAAGUGGUUUAGUAGACCGCCUGGGGAGUACGGCCGCAAGGGUAAACGUCAAAUGAAUUGACGGGGUCUCACACAAGCGGUGGAGCAUGUGGAUUAAUUCGAAGCAACGCGCAGAACCUUACCUGGGUUUGACAUGCUUGGAUGCCUGCUCUGAAAGGAGUUAGCCUGCCUUCGGGUGAAACUUGCACAGGUGCUGCAUGGCUGUCGUCAGCUCGUGUCGUGAGAUGUCGGGUUAAGUCCUUUAACGAGCGAAACCCUUGCCGUUAGUUGCCAGCGAGUAAUGUCGGGGACUCUAACGGGACUGCCGGUGUUAAACCGGAGGAAGGUGGGGAUGACGUCAAGUCCUCAUGGCCUUUAUGCCCAGGGCUUCACACGUGCUACAAUGGCAAUUACAGAGCGACGCGAUACCGCGAGUGGGAGCAAAUCGCAAAAAAAUUGCCUCAGUUCGGAUUGCAGGCUGGCAAUUCGCCUGCAUGAAGUCGGGAAUCGCUAGUAAUCGCGUAUCAGCAAUGACGCGGUGAAUGUGUUCCUGAGCAUUGUACACACCGCCCGUCAAGUGAUGGAAGCCGGG